rnacentral:rRNA from 1 species
GACGAACGCUGGCGGCGUGCUUAACACAUGCAAGUCGAACGGAAAGGCCCUGCUUUUGUGGGGUGCUCGAGUGGCGAACGGGUGAGUAACACGUGAGUAACCUGCCCUUGACUUUGGGAUAACUUCAGGAAACUGGGGCUAAUACCGGAUAGGAGCUCCUGCUGCAUGGUGGGGGUUGGAAAGUUUCGGCGGUUGGGGAUGGACUCGCGGCUUAUCAGCUUGUUGGUGGGGUAGUGGCUUACCAAGGCUUUGACGGCUAGCCGGCAUGAGAGGGUGACCGGCGACAUUGGGACUGAGAUACGGCCCAGACUCCUACGGGAGGCAGAAGUGGGGAGUAUUGCGCAAUGGGCGGAAGCCUGAUGCAGCAGCGCCGCGUGCGGGAUGCCGGCCUACGGGUUGUAAACCGCCUUGGACUGUGACGAGGCGUGAGUGACGGUAAUGGGUAAAGAAGCACCGGCUAACUACGUG